rnacentral:misc_RNA from 1 species
AGUGCGCAUCGACCCACCCACACCUAUAGAUGGUAUUUUGGGCGGCUUUUCUCUCUCUCCGAUUCUGGCUCCAUGCGUCAGCAGCACGGCGUCACGAGGACCGGGGCGGGGGGGGCGAGAGGCGGCGGAAAGGGCACCACACAUCCACAUGAAUAUACCCUCACAAGAAAGAGAAGCAAGCACGUAUUCCCUGUGCACAGCAGCAGCCGUUCUGCAGAGGUGGCGAUUUCAUAGUGUAGAAAUGCAAAACCCACCCACCCACCCACCCACCCACACCCACACACACACACACACACACACACACACACACACGAGCGCGAAUUGCAACAAGGGCACAGCUCCGGCUCUGAGCAGAGAUGGACGAGGUGCGAUGACAAGACGAGAGGGAAGGCGCGCUACUUCUUGCCGCUCCUUUUUUUUUUCGCGGUGUGCCACUGUGGCAGAGCAACCCCACUGCAUGCGCGAGGCGUAGAAGCGGUACCCUCUUCGAUUCACUGUUGUGCAUCGACAGCUUGUAACCCCCUCUUCUCUUCCGCCUCUUUUCUUGCAUGCUACACGCUCCAUAUUUGGCGCCUGCGCAACUCCGCCCACUAAACGUCAACGGCGGCGACGGCUGCUGAUAGUGUCCGUUUACUCCACAG